rnacentral:tRNA from 1 species
ACUGGGAUGGCAGAGCCCGGUAAUUGCGAUAGGCCUAAGCCCUCUUACUCAGAGGUUCAAAUCCUCUUCCCAGUU